rnacentral:rRNA from 1 species
AUUGAACGCUGGCGGCAGGCUUAACACAUGCAAGUCGAGCGGUAACAGAGAGAAGCUUGCUUCUCUGCUGACGAGCGGCGGACGGGUGAGUAAUGCCUAGGAAUCUGCCUAGUAGUGGGGGAUAACUUGCCGAAAGGUAAGCUAAUACCGCAUACGUCCUACGGGAGAAAGGAGGGGACCUUCGGGCCUUUCGCUAUUAGAUGAGCCUAGGUCGGAUUAGUUAGUUGGUGAGGUAAUGGCUCACCAAGACCGCGAUCCGUAACUGGUCUGAGAGGAUGAUCAGUCACACUGGAACUGAGACACGGUCCAGACUCCUACGGGAGGCAGCAGUGGGGAAUAUUGGACAAUGGGGGGAACCCUGAUCCAGCCAUGCCGCGUGUGUGAAGAAGGUCUUAGGAUUGUAAAGCACUUUAAGUUGGGAGGAAGAGCAGUUAACUAAUAUUUGACUGUUUUGACGUUACCGGCAGAAUAAGCACCGGCUAACUUCGUG